AGGACGAACGCUGGCGGCGUGCCUAACACAUGCAAGUCGAGCGAUGCGAUUCUUCGGAAUCAAUUAGCGGCGGACGGGUGAGUAACACGUGGGUAACCUGCCUCAAAGAGGGGAAUAGCCUCCCGAAAAGGGAGAUUAAUACCGCAUAAUAUGUUUUGAUCGCAUGAUCUUAACAUCAAAGGAAUUUCUUCGGAAAUUCCACUUUGAGAUGGACCCGCGGCGCAUUAGCUAGUUGGUGAGGUAAAGGCCCACCAAGGCAACGAUGCGUAGCCGACCUGAGAGGGUGAUCGGCCACAUUGGAACUGAGACACGGUCCAGACUCCUACGGGAGGCAGCAGUGGGGAAUAUUGCGCAAUGGGGGAAACCCUGACGCAGCAACGCCGCGUGAAUGAUGAAGGCCUUCGGGUUGUAAAGUUCUGUCUUCUGGGACGAUAAUGACGGUACCAGAGGAGGAAGCCACGGCUAACUACGUGCCAGCAGCCGCGGU
rnacentral:rRNA from 1 species